AGAGUUUGAUCCUGGCUCAGCCUGAACGCUGGCGGCGUGGCUAAGACAUGCAAGUCGUACGGACCCGCAAGGGUCAGUGGCGAACGGGAGAGUAAUGAAUCGCUAAUGUGCCCCGGACUUUGGGAUAGCUACCCGAAAGGGUAGGUAAUACCAGAUGAUAUAACUUUGUCGCAUGGCAGAGUUCUCAAAGGUCCGCCGGUCUGGGAGCAGGCGAUUUCGUAUCAGCUAGUUGGUAGGGUAACGGCCUACCAAGGCGACGACGCGUAGCCGGACUGAGAGGUUGGCCGGCCUCAUUGGGACUGAGACACUGCCCAGACUCCUACGGGGGGCUGCAGUAACGAAUCUUCCGCAAUGCACGAAAGCCUGACGCAGCGACGCCGCGUGUGGGAUGACGGCCUUCGGGUUGUAAACCACUGUCGGGAGGGACGAAUGCCCCGCAAGGGGAGUGACGGUACCUCCAAAGGAAGCACCGGCUAACUCCGUGCCAGCAGCCGCGGUAAUACGGAGGGUGCGAGCGUUGUCCGGAAUCACUGGGCGUAAAGGGCGCGUAGGCGGCCUGAUAAGUAGGGGGUGAAAUCCUGCGGCUUAACCGCAGGGCUGCCUUCUAAACUGUCGGGCUCGAGCACAGUAGAGGCAGGUGGAAUUCCCGGUGUAGCGGUGGAAUGCGUAGAGAUCGGGAAGAACAUCAGUGGCGAAGGCGGCCUGCUGGGCUGUUGCUGACGCUGAGGCGCGACAGCGUGGGGAGCAAACAGGAUUAGAUACCCUGGUAGUCCACGCCGUAAACGAUGGACACUAGGCGUCGGGGGGAGCGACCCUCCCGGUGCCGUCGCUAACGCAGUAAGUGUCCCGCCUGGGGAGUACGGCCGCAAGGCUGAAACUCAAAGGAAUUGACGG
rnacentral:rRNA from 1 species